rnacentral:rRNA from 1 species
GAUGAACGCUGGCGGCGUGCCUAAUACAUGCAAGUCGAGCGAACAGACGAGGAGCUUGCUCCUCUGACGUUAGCGGCGGACGGGUGAGUAACACGUGGAUAACCUACCUAUAAGACUGGGAUAACUUCGGGAAACCGGAGCUAAUACCGGAUAAUAUAUUGAACCGCAUGGUUCAAUAGUGAAAGACGGUUUUGCUGUCACUUAUAGAUGGAUCCGCGCCGCAUUAGCUAGUUGGUAAGGUAACGGCUUACCAAGGCGACGAUGCGUGGCCGACCUGAGAGGGUGAUCGCACACACUGGAACUGAGACACGGUCCAGACUCCGACGGGAGGCAGCAGUAGGGAAUCUUACGCAAGGGGCGAAAGCCUGACGGAGCAACGCGGCGUGAGUGAUGAAGGUCUUCGGAUCGGAAAACGCUGUAAUUAGGGAAGAACAAAUGUGUAAGUAACUAGGCACGUACUGACGGUACCUAAUCAGAAAGCCACGGCUAACUACGUG